CCCUUCGAUCCUCCCAAACCCACGCGAUUCAGAACCCUCGUCCAAGGGCUCAGGGAAGCAGCGUCCCAGCGCACGCCGCCACCACCGAGGGGAGGAGCCCCGCCGGUGAGAGGAGGAGCCCCAACACCGCCGCCCGACUCUGCCUGCCGCCCCGACUCUCCCCGGUGGUAAGUCAUCACCGCCCUGCCCCUCCCCUCCUCCACUUCCUCUCCCGGCCGCAAUGGCUACCACAUCCCGCACAUCGUCCAUCCGCCUCUUUAUCAAUGGCAAGCUCUCCAAGAACGUCGGGAUUUUCUGAUGGUGAUGGUGGUUGCUCAUUGUAGUGUACGAUUUGUUGAACAUCUCGCCGGGUAGGGUUUGAUUAGGCUGGUCUGAUGUUAAUUACCAAAUUACUCUUUCUGAACCUGUAAGCUACCAUGUAAACAAGUACAUCAAUUUGAUCCUUCAUAGGGGGGGAGCUGAUUGGAGACAGAUCGAGGAGCAACGACGCUGUUGUUUGAAGCUUCUUCAUAGGUCCAUCAGCUCGGUGUCUCUGCUUGAUUGUUAUCUUUGCCGCUUCCUAACCCUCUUCGGCUUCCCCUCGCCAUCAGCCUUCGGACCCUGAAGUAAACAUGUUCUCAUUUGGUAUGAGUGUAUUGUCCACAUGCCAAUAGAAGUGAAAUCAGGAGCUACGGCAGUAUCAAAUAUAUAUGUGAUGGGCCUCAUCAUGUACGAGCCAUCCACAUCCCAAUACAAAACAAAACAGGAGCUACAACGUAAGGAAUUUGCUAUGGUCUUCACUGUCUAACAGCCUAUCUAAGAUUUACAAAACAAAACGAGAGCUAUAACAUAAACAAUAAAUGUAAAUAUAACCUUUGCUCUGUUCCUUUUAAACUUGCUUUUCUCUGCAACUACUCCGAGUAUGUUUCCAUCAACACACAUAUGUAUAUGCUCUGCUAGUGGAUACUUGUACUGUACAGGGUUUGCUGCAAGUGGAUACUUGUACUUGAUAACCAGCUGCUAGUGUUAUGAAUGCUCGACAUAUGCUUUCUCAUUUGCUCGCUUUUGCAAUUUAGUCAUAUGCUUAGAACAUAAAAUCCCCCCUUGUGAUUUUGUGUUUACAUAAAUAGUAUUCAUGCUUGAUAUAUAUACCAUACCAAAUUUUGGUGUUUAUUGGUUUUUGAAAUUGGAUUCUAAAUCAUGUCCGUUACUUGAUUUGUCCUACUAGACUGAUGCUUUUUUCUUGCAACACGCAACUCUGAACCAUGCAUCUUAUGUUGUAAUUUUUAAAUGUGUGUGGCAUCAAAUUAGAAAUGUGUGUCGCAUCGGAUUUUGAUAAAUGUGAAGUUUGGCUUUCUUGUCAGGAAUAGGAACAAUUAGGUUUUGAUAAGGUUGUUUUAUUUAGUUGGGGUUGUGUUUAGAAUAUACUCCCAAAGCAAGUGCAUUUGUUGUUUUCCUUGCACUGUCUGUUUAUGGUGCCAUAAAAGAUAAGGGCCCUAUACAUCGGUUUGUGUAUCCUUCUUGCACUGUCUAGAUUUCCUAUUUUGGUGCUAGAUCUAUGAGGUGGUGCUUCCAGCGUUGAACUUCCAACUUAACCUGAAGAUUACUUACUUUUGAGGAUGCCUAAAUCUGAAAUCUGAAACUAAAUUUGUUACCCCUGUGUUGCCCCUUGAACAAAGUUUGUACAUUGAGAUCAGUUAUCUUGAACGUUCCUUCUUUUCGUCUCAGUGACCAUGGCUAUAGUGUGACAUAAAGUUUUAUCUUUGCUCCUCAACAUACUAGUGCUUUGUUGAUAUCCUCUUGCACUGUUCAUUGUUUCAUUAGCCUGCCAAUUCUACAUAAAUGUCCUUUGUCCUGACAAAUGGUUGUUCCUGAAAAAAGAUUUACAAUUUCUGCCAUAGUAUCCCUUUUGUUCAGCUAUUUUUUGUAAUGGUUUUUUUCUAAAGGCACUCUAAUGUUCAUCUCCUUUUGUUUUAUCAGGUUCUCAUGCACCAAAAGAAGCAACAAUAAACAAGCUGGAUGAAUAAAUUUUUCUCAGGUUCUCAAUGCUAGAUGACCAUGACACCAAAAGAUGGAUACAUGUUUUUGCAUUAUCUUCGUUGCAAAAUGAUGUUGUGGCUGUGAUGAACUGUCUACUGCGAAAGAUUAUGUUGUUAUGAUAAAUAAUGAAUGCUUGGAUUUGGGAUUCAAAGUCAUGUUGUUAUGAUAAAUUGUGUUAUUGCUGUGAUGAGAUAUUGAUUUCAAGUCAUGCAAAAUUAUGUUGUUGUUGGGAAAACUGUUGCUAAAUUAUGAGAUAUUGAUUUCAAGUCAUUUUUAUCAGGUGACCUUUACAAUUCUGUAGCAAGUAUAUAAGGGGAGUUAGUUACAUUGUAAAGAUUGGAUUUUUAAAUGUUCUACAUCAUGUUAUGUCAACAUGACAGACCCUUUCUACCAAAUAGAAAUUUUAAACGA
rnacentral:lncRNA from 1 species